AUUGAACGCUGGCGGCAGGCCUAACACAUGCAAGUCGAACGAGUGGCGGACGGGUGAGUAAUGUCUGGGAAACUGCCCGAUGGAGGGGGAUAACUACUGGAAACGGUAGCUAAUACCGCAUACGAUCAGAUGUGCCCAGAUGGGAUUAGCUAGUUGGUGGGGUAAAGGCUCACCAAGGCGACGAUCCGUAGCUGGUCUGAGAGGAUGACCAGCCACACUGGAACUGAGACACGGGCCAGACUCCUACGGGAGGCAGCAGUGGGGAAUAUUGGACAAUGGGCGCAAGCCUGAUGCAGCCAUGCCGCGUGUAUGAAGAAGGCCUUCGGGUUGUAAAGUACUUUCAUCGGGGAAGCGUUACCCGCAGAAGAAGCACCGGCUAACUCCGUGCCAGCAGCCGCGGUAAUUC
rnacentral:rRNA from 1 species